GCGAUGAAGACUGCCAGCCGCCUUACUAGGACUCAGAUUCCAUAGCCCUUCUCCUCCGGUUUACCGCGAUGAAGACUGUCCGCGCCUGAGCCUCCUUUCAUCGGAAGGAAGAAGAAUCACACACCUCCGGUUUACCGCGAUGAAGACUGCCCGCGCCUGAGCCUCCUUUCACCUAGGUCUUCAUCGUAUUUUCACUAGAAAUCCCAAUUUCGAAAAACCCUUGCCCGAGCCACAGCUCAUGAUUCUAGAGCUACCAGGAAACAAGUAGAGGUGGGGUCUAAAGUCAUUUUUGUUGUUCUUGGUGGUUCUGUUAUUAGAUAGCAUAUGAUCUAAAAGAAAAGAUUGUACAAUAAAUUAGCCGAUGAGGACAAUGAGUUUAGGGAAAUAGCCUAUUGUUCAUGAGAAUUACAGGCAGAAGAGAAGCUGGGUUUCAUGAUUUGGCAUCUCUGUUUCAUGCAAUCCUAAUGUCACUAUUGUUGGUAAAGCAUUUGGGUUGAAAGCAACUGCUCAAGUUUUGCACUUCUCUAAAUGUUUUAUAUUUUAUUCUUUUUCUUUUUGUAAAAGGUUUAUAUUUUAUUCUAUGUCUUUAUAAACAUAUAACCUAUUAAUGUAUAUUUCAGGUUGUAGAUCUACAGAUCUUUGUAGUAUGCAUCACCUUGAAACCUUUGGUC